rnacentral:rRNA from 2 species
UGGGGAAUCUUCCGCAAUGGACGAAAGUCUGACGGAGCAACGCCGCGUGAGUGAAGAAGGUUUUCGGAUCGUAAAGCUCUGUCUUUUAGGGAGAAUGUGCUUUUUGUGAAUAAUGAGAAGCAAUGACGGUACUAAAGGAGGAAGCCACGGCUAACUACGUGCCAGCAGCCGCGGUAAUACGUAGGUGGCGAGCGUUGUCCGGAAUUAUUGGGCGUAAAGGGCGCGUAGGCGGAUUUAUAAGUCUGACUUAAAAGUGCAGGGCUCAACCCUGUGAGGGGUCAGAAACUAUGGAUCUUGAGUGCAGGAGAGGAAAGUGGAAUUCCCAGUGUAGCGGUGAAAUGCGUAGAUAUUGGGAGGAACACCAGUGGCGAAGGCGACUUUCUGGACUGUGUCUGACGCUGAGGCGCGAAAGCCAGGGGAGUGAACGGG